GCAGUGGGAGUCCCGGGUGACACAGUACGAAAGGGACUUUGAGCGGAUUUCUGCUGUCAUCCGUAAGGAAGUGAUACGGUUUGAGAAAGAGAAAUCUAAGGACUUCAGAAACCAUGUCACGAAAUACCUUGAGACGUUAUUAAACUCUCAGCAACAGCUGGUGAAGUACUGGGAAGCGUUCCUGCCCGAAGCCAAGGCCAUUUCUUAAUUGGACUGAGAAAGCAAACCUGAAUUUUGCCUUUUUUUUUUUUUUUCUUUUUUUCUUUUUUUUCUUUCUUU